UCAAUUUUCAUGUAAUUUCUCCAAUCCCUGCAAUCACUUGUGAUCUUUGUAACCUGUGCAAUCUUGGUAAUCGUUUGUAAUCUGUGUAAUUUUACCUACUAUGGUCUGUGCACUCUCUUUGCAAUGCCAGUCAUCUCUGUAAUCAACUUCUAUUCUUUUUAGUUCUAAUCAGUGCUUGCAAUGUUGACACAGUGAAUAGAAGGCCUCGAAUCUUACGGAUAAUUUCCAAUGACAUUGCGAUAAGGCGAGUGAAAUUAUGUUACAUCUACAGAGAGAUGUGGAAGCAACGCUACAGUGCAACAUAAUUUCUGUCCAAAGCCUCCAGGAAUCCAGACGAGCGAAGAAGACAGGCCAUUAGUGCCAGUUGAUGCUCCGCUCUCGAGUAAAGUCGUCUCAUCAGGACCCAGAAACCAGUUUUAUAAAAGCAAAUUCAAGAAUUUUCGUACUUAUUGUUCAAACUGUCGAACUGAAGUCGACAUUCUAAUGUUCACGAGAACAACUACGUUGAUACUUAUUGUUAGAUAAAAACGAAGCUAGUGUAACUAACAAACUGUAAUUCACGACUAUUUCGAAGAAUUCCAUAAAAAAAACCAGAAUGAUUAUAAGCUAUGAUAUUUUUUACGUUAUUAAAAUGGGAAAGCCUCA